CACGUAGGCACCAAGCGUUGUCCGGAUUUAUUGGGCGUAAAGAGCUCGUAGGCGGUUCAGUAAGUCGGGUGUGAAAACUCUGGGCUCAACCCAGAGACGCCACCCGAUACUGCUGUGACUUGAGUACGGUAGGGGAGUGGGGAAUUCCUGGUGUAGCGGUGAAAUGCGCAGAUAUCAGGAGGAACACCGGUGGCGAAGGCGGUUCUCUGGGCAUUACCUGACGCUGAGGAGCGAAAGUGUGGGGAGCGAACAGG
rnacentral:rRNA from 1 species